UUGUCACAGCAGAUGGAGACAAAAUACAUCUUCAGCCUGACUACACCCAAAAGGCCAUGAGACAGCGUUCAGCCUUCAACGAGGUAUGUGGUCUAUCAGACGCUGUGAGGGUGUACACUAUGGCCUGUUCUAUGCUGCCGAGCUGAGAAUCACCGCGAAAAAUGGAGUAAGGCAGAGCUUUAAAGAUCCAAAGCAGGCUAUGGACUUUGUGAGAGACACUUUGAAGCCUUAAUGCAAAUAAUAUGACCUACAGCAAAUAGCCAAUUGAUGUAUGGAUCCACUUUUGGUGGUAAUAAACAAGCACCUUCAACCCCAACAGAAUACAAAGACAAUUCAGCUGCGAGUGACCAGUCUGAAUUUGAAGAUGACCAACAAGAAACUUCAUGUCAGCACAGGUCAGAGGGUAAUAGUGACAAAGCUCAGGACCUGCAUAACAACAACCCCACAGAUUGCAUUCUGCCAGGACCACAUGCUCCAGUUUUUUUUUUUUUACUUUUUCAUAUUUCUAGAGGGUAUUGUCUAAAUGGAUGUUAAUGAUGAGCAUAUGUAUUUUAAUGCUAUUCCUAAAACCUUUUUAAAAAAAUGAUCAAUUAUCUACAUAUUUUUAGAGGGUCUAUGGUUAUGUAAAUUGGUUUUAUUCAAACUUAAUAUGCAGAAACAACUAUGUAUUCUAGGUUGAUUUAAUUGACAAAUUGCACACUCUGCACAGCUAAUUAUUUUCGUUAUUACUCAUUGUUUAAAUUGAUUGCGGAUCCCUGGAAGGCUGGUCAUUGCUACAUGUACAUGUCGGGCUCCUAUGUGCACCAGAAAUGGCUCUCUGUGCAAAAGGAAAUCAAGGUGCCCCAAGAGAGCUACAAAGGCUCAGUGACACCCAGUGGGCUUGUCGGUACCAGGCUUGCAAAAACAUUAAGGACAGACGGCCUGCUGUAUUGCAGUGGUUUUAUUUCACACCAUUCUGGACUGUUUGAGAGGGGAGAUGCAGAGCCGUUUCAGUAAAUCAAACUGUAUACAAGCUAUACAAGCAAGGUAUACAAGCACUGAAUCCUAAAAGCAGAAGCUUUCUGGAUAAAGAGACCAUUUUUUAGCUUUGCUAGGAUUUAUGAAUGUGAUACUGAAGACAUAAAACAUGAACUGCAUCAAGUGAGGAGGGUUAUAGAAAGGAAAUCCCAGACUAGGAUUGAAUUGUCUAGUCUCCUAGAGUUUACCAUCUUCAGCUUUUUCGCUUGUGCUGCAUAACUAUGGCCUUACCAGUCUAAUGGUAAGGCUAUGGAAUUAAACACUAUGAUGUUAUGGC